rnacentral:misc_RNA from 1 species
AACGCACAUUGCGCCCGCCGGCACUCCGGCGGGCAUGCCUGUCCGAGCGUCAUCUCAGCCCGUCGAGCGAUGCUCGCGUUGGGGCACCGCGGCCGCCGCGGGCCUCCAAAGGAAGUGGCGCGGGCCGCCGACGCGCCGAGCGUAGUAACCACCCUCGCUCCGGCGCGCGCGGCCCCCCGCCGUGAAGCCCCCACCCGCACCAGGCUGACCUCGGAUCAGGUAGGGAUACCCGCUGAACUUAA